rnacentral:misc_RNA from 1 species
GAAGCAAGUGCUUUUUUUGCACUUUGCGCUUUAAGCAAUGGGGUGAUGUAUCACUUUGAGUGCGCGGUCUUAUUUCCAUAUCAUUUAGUUAUUUUGGUUUAAAAAGGGGUAAAAACCAACCAAAUACUUACUCUUAAGGAGAUCUCCUCAAGCAUUCACUACCCAAAUGUAGCAAUUUUAGUGCCCAGUCUAAUAGAACAUGAAAAAUAGCCUAAUUUCACUGGACUGAAAAAAGAAAGCUGGGAGAGUGAGCAUGCAAGCAAACAUAGAAACACACAUGCACAAAUGAACAUGCACAUGCAGAAUCAAGACACAACAGUGUAAAAUGUACAGCCUUAAAUCUUUUUUAGGAAGUACCUUUUAGAUACCAAUGUUACCAUUAACCCACAAGGUAAAUUAAAUUAAUUAUAAAAAAAAAAGAGAUACUUGAGAUUACAGGACUCAAUUACCCCUGUAAUCAUGAUACAUUAGAGACUACAUAUUGGGCAAGUGGUAAGUAAUAAAACAGAACAAAACAAAUAUUGCAUAGCUAAUAGCAUUUUCUCAUAAUUCAAGUUAUGACUACUACUAACAACUACUGAGUCAUAAAAUGUCAUGAAUGACACAGAAAGUUUCAGAAAUUUCAUGAACCAACUUACACAAAGGAAGGCCAAUUUGUACA